CAGCACCUGGAGGGACGAGACAGGGCCAGAGUCCCCCAGAACCCCCACCGCUCUGGCUGGAGGCCACAGGGCUCCCUCUGCAGGACACAUUUCUCAUUUAGUCGAGAAAAAUAUUUAUCUGGCUCCUACUGUAUACCACCAUGUACCAAAUCCUCAGGUGGAAUGUUACAUACCGUGGGACACCUUCCCUGCUCCUCCAGUCUGGGUUCUAGAACGUUCUUUUGUGCUCGCAUGGCCCCCCUAGGCACCUACCACCCAGGACUGGGAUACUGUUUCCUUCCCAGCCUUUAAGUUCCCUGGGGGCAGGCCAAUGACUGUCUCACCCAUGGCUGCACCCUGGCAGCCAGUACCUGGGCUCAGUAAAAGCUGCUGAAAGGUGCUACCAUCCCGUUUCUCAGGGAGAAACUGAGUCUCACACCAUUCCCACAUGGCAGGCUCCAAUAUCCCUGUGUGUGAAACGGCUAACGGCAUGGACCUUGCAGCCCACUACCAGAUUUUAAACCCUGCUCCCUUCCCAGCUGUGUGACCUUGGGCAAGUUCACGACCUCUCUGUGCUUUGGUCACCCGAUCUGUAAAAUGAGUAUAGUGACCAUACCUACCUCAUAGGGCUACAUCAAGGGCCUGUAAGUUCACGUAUAUAAAUGGGUACAACAGA